rnacentral:tRNA from 1 species
GCGGGCGUCGCCAAGCGGAAAGGCACCAGGCUUCCAUCCUGGCAUCGCGUGGGUUCGAAUCCCACCGCCCGCUCCA